rnacentral:pre_miRNA from 1 species
AAAGAGUUCCCUCCGUUCUGAAUUAUAUGUCUUAAAUUUGUGUAGAUAAGGAUGUAUCUAGACACAUUUUAGUGUUAAAGACAUCCAUAUGUAGACAAAUUUAAGAUAAGUAAUUUGGAAUGGAGGUAAUAUUUU